UUCAACUCUGUUGGUUUCUAUCAGGGCAAGUCGAGUGCAUUGGUUGGAUCUAGAUUCCUGAUAUUGCAUAGGACUUGUCAAAAGGUGCUUCUCAAUUAUAGAUGGAAAACUUGCCAUGGAGGCACAUAGCUUGCUGAUUUUGUUUCUGGAUUGGCCCUUGAGAGGGAGACCGACGCA